ensembl:lncRNA
AUAAAUGAACCUAACUCUAUUUCAAAUGCGUAACAUAAGCGACUUUAAGAAGGGCAAUAAAAAGAUCCUGCACCAGUCUCGGACAUGGUAUUUUGACUAGAUGCCCUCAGGCUCAAGACAAAAAGAACUGUCAAUAAAUAUUGAGCCUGCGGUCUUGGGUUUGUUUUCCACAGCGUACAGAUUAGCCAUUCCACAGCGAUGUCGUGUGUGUUCUAGGAUUCAGUAAACGAGACUGAGUUUGUUCACUGUCAGAGAAAACGGUUUCAGACACGGAAUGCGGAAGGCUGGAAGGAACCCACCGGUGUUGAACGGAAUCGGAGGCGGAGCCAGUUCCCACGAGCCAGCUUCCACACAGAGCCCCUGGUAGGACUGACAGUGCCGAGAGUACAAAUGACCAGGCCAGCCCGCCUGAAAGCAAUUAGCUUUGUGGAACGCUGUGGCCUUUUCUUUCCUCUUUUUGAAACUGGCUCUGCCUGAGCCCAGCACCUGGGUGACAAGCUGGAUUUUAUUUAAGAAGCCAAAAGAAAAGGGGAAAAAAAGACGUGGAGGGCAACUAGCAUGGCUUGCAGAAAAUUAGAGGCCCCUCAUUCUGGUCUUCAGGAGGCAGGAAGGUGGCAAGCGGAGGGCAGAAGGGUCACCCUGACCUUCCCAGCUACAUAGACGCUGUUUUCCUCAUGGAGGGGAAGCCCAGCGGAUGUGAGAAGAAAAGAGAAACUGAGGCACAAAAGUGCUGAGUAAUUGUCUUCCUUUGAUCAGAAUCACAUCUAGAAUCUCGUCCAUCCAGAAUCACAAAGUGCUAGAACCAGAAAGAGGAUUCAUGCACUCCUAAAGAACACCGUGUGGAUGCCUCCCCAGUGUCCAUCCGCUUCUCUGGGGUUUCUUCGACGCCAGCAGACGCCAACAGAAGCCUGCUCAUCAACCCGCACGACAGCCUACAAACACCAGGGAGUUAACACCCCUAGGUCCUCAACCCACAGGAGCAGAAGCCAAGGAUAAACAUCAAUACCCCCAGAGGAAGAUUCACGCUGACCUAACGUCUGUUGCCAAUCUUCCUCUUUUUGCUUGAAGAAGAUUUGCCCUGAACUAACAUCUGUGCCAGUCUUCCUCUGUUCUGUAUGGCCACAGCAUGGCCACUGACAAGUUCCGCACCCAUGAACCAAACCCAGGCUGCCAAAGGAGAGUGCACUGAACUUAACCACUAGGCCACUGGGCAGGCCCUAUUUAACCAUUUCACACCUCUUUCCAAUGUCCUUCAAAUGCACUUUGAUUAUACAAAUGUAACAUAAUUAUUAAUUACAUACAAUACAAAGCAGUAUCAUAUAAGUGAGUGCUCAAGUCUAUAAAUAUCGUGACUAUUUAGAAAAGAGGGCAAUUCCUGCGGGCUGUCAUGGUCAGAAAAGGUUUUAAAAAGGAGGAGAAAUGUUUUCUGAUCUUGCAGGAUGAAGAAGAUUCGGAUAGGUGGAAAAGAGAGGGACGGUGCCUCCCACAGGAGAGGGGCCACCUGACACAGUUGACCAUUAGUGAACCCGAGCUCCGUGCCCACCACUUUUCUAAGCAUUGUUUAUGGAUUAACUCAUUUAAUCCUCAUAAUAACUUUGUGAAGUACCUGUAUUAUUUACACUGUAUAGACAAGGAAACAGAUAUAGAGAAGUUUAAGAAACUUGCCCAAGGUCCCAUGGAGCUGGGAUUCCAACCCAGCCGGCCAACGCCAGGUCCCACACUGGCAACUCCACCAUUCUCGUUAGGCUGUCAUGUGUCUCUUUUGAGCUGAGCUGAGGAGCUAGGUUUUCAGUUUUGUUUUAAUUGUGGUAAAAUACACAUAACAUAAAAUUUACAAUCUUAGCCAUUUUUAAGUGUAAAGUUCAGCAGUGUUAAGUUUAUUCACGUUGUUGUGUAACCAAUCUCCAGAAAUUUUUCACCUUGCAAAACUGAAACUUUAUACCCAUUAAACAACAACUUUCCAUUUCCCCUCCCCCAGGAAGCCCCUGGCAACCACCAUUCUGCAUUCUGUUCCUAUGAGUUUACUAAUCUAGAGAUCUCAUACAAGUGGCAUUGUACAGUAUUCAUCCUUUUGUGUCUGCUUUUGUCAAUUAGCAUGAUGUCUUCAAGAUUCAUCUAUUUUGUAGCAUGUAUCAGAAUUUGCUUCCUUUUUAAGGCUAAAUAACAUUUUGUUGUAUGUAUAUACCGCAUUUUGUUUAUCCAUUCAUCAGCUGGUGGACAUCUGGGUUGCUUCCACCUUUCACCUAGCGUGAAUAACGCUGCUAUGAAUAUGGACAUGCAAAUGUCUGUUCAAGACCCUCUUUCAAUUCUUUUGGCUAUAUAUCCAGAAGUGGAAUUGAUGGAUCAUAUGGUAAUUCUAGUUUUAAUUUGUUGAGGGACGGCUAUCCUGUUUUCUAUAGCAGCUGUACUAUUCUAUAUUCCCAACACCAGGGCACCAGGGUUCCAAUUUCUCCACAUCCCCAGAGGAGCUAGGUUUGGACCCUUCUGAUACGAAGGCAGGACAUCUGAGUAGAACUGUCCAGGAGACAGCUGGAGACACCGACCAUGACUCAGGUGAGAGGACGUACUGCUGACAGAUUUGGAAUGUAUCCGGCGAGAAAUGGGAGAAGCCAUGAAAGAUCAAAGAGUUCACUGAUGACAGCGGAGGAAGGAGAGCAGGAGAUGGGGACUAAGUCUUGGGGAAUGGCCCAGUUGGAUGGCACAUUAAUUGGCAAAUGGCAGCUGCUAAAUGUUUUUUAAAAACUCGUGCUCUCUGUUAAACAUUCCCCUGCAGUCCCCGGAUUUGCUUAGCCAACCCUUUUGCAUAUUAAAAUAAAUACCAACUUCUCUCUGAUGGAGUUACUCAAAAUCAAAAUUAGAGACUCUGGUGAUAGUUAACAUCUGUAGAGGUUUUUAUUUUUCAUAUAUGUAAUCCUUAUAACAACCCUGUGGCGUAGACAUUAUUAUUCCUCCUGUAUAAUCUUCUGGGGGGUGGGGG